GUGAAUGUAGCUCAAUUGGUUAGAGCAUCAGAUUGUGGUUCUGAAGGUUGCUGGUUCAAUUCCAGUCAUUCACC
rnacentral:tRNA from 1 species